GACAGAGGGUGGAAACGUUGCUCGGAAUUACUGGGCGUAAAGCGCGUGUAGGUGGAUUGGUGUGUCAGAUGUGAAAGCCCUGGGCUCAACCCAGGAACUGCACCUGAAACUACCAGUCUUGAGUGGUGGAGAGGGAAGUGGAAUUCCUGGUGUAGAGGUGAAAUUCGUAGAUAUCAGGAGGAACACCAGUGGCGAAGGCGGCUUCCUGGACACUAACUGACGCUGAGACGCGAAAGCGUGGGGAGCAAACAGG
rnacentral:rRNA from 1 species